rnacentral:rRNA from 1 species
AUUGAACGCUGGCGGCAGGCCUAACACAUGCAAGUCGAGCGGAUGAAGGGAGCUUGCUCCUGGAUUCAGCGGCGGACGGGUGAGUAAUGCCUAGGAAUCUGCCUGGUAGUGGGGGAUAACGUCCGGAAACGGGCGCUAAUACCGCAUACGUCCUGAGGGAGAAAGUGGGGGAUCUUCGGACCUCACGCUAUCAGAUGAGCCUAGGUCGGACGAGCUAGUUGGUGGGGUAAAGGCCUACCAAGGCGACGAUCCGUAACUGGUCUGAGAGGAUGAUCAGGCACACUCGAACUGAGACACGGUCCAGACUCCUACGGUACGCACCAGUGGGCAAUCUUGGACACUGGGCUCCCGCCUGAUCCCUCCAUGCCUCGUCUGUCAAGAAGGUCUUCGGAUUGUCAAGCACUUUAAGUUGGGAGGACGCGCACUAAGUUAAUACCUUGCUGUUUUGCCGUUACCACCCGAAUAAGCACCGGCUAACUUCCUG